rnacentral:rRNA from 1 species
UGCGAAAGUGGUGCUAAUACCGCAUAAUGCAGCGGGGCCGCAUGGCCAUAGUUGUUAAAGGUUUCGGCCGGCUAUAGAUGGGUCUGCGUGCUAUUAGCUAGUUGGUAAGGUAACGGCUUACCAAGGCGAUGAUAGCUAGGGGGUCUGAGAGGAUGAUCCCCCACACUGGGACUGAGACACGGCCCAGACUCCUACGGGAGGCAGCAGUGAGGAAUCUUGCGCAAUGGGCGAAAGCCUGACGCAGCCACGCCGCGUGCCGGAAGACGGCCCUAUGGGUUGUAAACGGCUUUUACUAGGGAAGAACGAGAGGGUUUUGAUCUUCUGUGACGGUACCUAGUGAAUAAGCACCGGCUAACUCCGUGCCAGCAGCCGCGGUAAUACGGAGGGUGCAAGCGUUGUCCGGAAUUACUGGGCGUAAAGGGCGUGUAGGCGGAUGAUCAAGCUAGGGGUGAAAGCCCAGGGCCCAACCCUGGAACUGCCUUUAGAACUGAUUGUCUAGAAUCCGUAAGGGGAGUGUGGAAUUCCUAGUGUAGAGGUGAAAUUCGUAGAUAUUAGGAAGAACACCAGUGGCGAAGGCGGC